rnacentral:rRNA from 1 species
UACGUAGGGGGCAAGCGUUAUCCGGAUUUACUGGGUGUAAAGGGAGCGUAGACGGCAGUGCAAGUCUGGAGUGAAAGGCGGGGGCUCAACCCCCGGACUGCUCUGGAAACUGUACGGCUGGAGUGCAGGAGAGGUAAGUGGAAUUCCUAGUGUAGCGGUGAAAUGCGUAGAUAUUAGGGGGAACACCAGUGGCGAAGGCGGCUUACUGGACUGUAACUGACGUUGAGGCUCGAAAGCGUGGGGAGCAAACAGG